UGGUGAUGAUAGCGGAGAGGAUACACCCGUUCCCAUCUCGAACACGGAAGUUAAGCUCUCCAGCGCCGAUGGUACUUGGGGCGGGAGCUCCCGGGAGAGUAGGUCGUCGCCA
rnacentral:rRNA from 1 species